CCCUCAAUAAUUCAGUUGGUUUGAGUGUAGUGCUGAUGAUGCCAAGGUUGCAGGUUCGAUCCCCGGAUGGGACA